GAUGAAAAGACCGCUGGCAAGCGAGUGAAAGAGUGCAUGAAAUUGUAUGGUGGGAAGGGAUGGCUUGGCACGAAGCCUUUGGGUAUACGCGGAUCCUCGACCCGAUGAAUACACCAAGGCCGGUUGGUGCCGACACUCGUGUUUGCAAACCCCCAAUCUAAGGUGCUUGGCUUUUCAAACGCGAGUGUUGAGGUUGAUCGUUGCUUUGUUUCAAACUGCAUCGACAUAGCACCAACGGAAGCUAAUCCAUCUG
rnacentral:rRNA from 1 species